rnacentral:lncRNA from 1 species
CCCCAAACCUGCCACCGACGGCCACUUCCGUUUCCCCGAUAGUAUUUGGGGAUCUCGAAGCGAUACUUCCGGCUCCCCCCAGGUCCCCAAGCUUUACUUUUGUGGGGCACGACGAGAAAGUCCGCAGCCCCAAACAUUCCCAGAGGUCCACUUGGGCCAGUGGUACUUUAUCGCAGGGGCAGCUCCCACCAAGGAGGAGUUGGCAACUUUUGACCCUGUGGACAACAUUGUCUUCAAUAUGGCUGCUGGCUCUGCCCCGAUGCAGCUCCACCUUCGUGCUACCAUCCGCAUGAAAGAUGGGCUCUGUGUGCCCCGGAAAUGGAUCUACCACCUGACUGAAGGGAGCACAGAUCUCAGAACUGAAGGCCGCCCUGACAUGAAGACUGAGCUCUUUUCCAGCUCAUGCCCAGGUGGAAUCAUGCUGAAUGAGACAGGCCAGGGUUACCAGCGCUUUCUCCUCUACAAUCGCUCACCACAUCCUCCCGAAAAGUGUGUGGAGGAAUUCAAGUCCCUGACUUCCUGCCUGGACUCCAAAGCCUUCUUAUUGACUCCUAGGAAUCAAGGUAAGGGGUUAAAAUCUCAUAAAACAGGAUUAGGACUCACCAAGUCUUCUGGUGUUACAGGGUGAAAGAGGCUCGUGUGAUGUCACCAGAGGGAUGUGGCUAAGAGCUGUGAUGUCACCUGAGGGAGGCAGGAUGGGUUCUGGGCUACUCAAAAGAGAGGUUUCUGAGUUUGCACUGGAUAAAGGGGGCAGAGGGUCAUACGUGGAGGGAAAAGAGCCUUAGAGACUCCCCUUUGACACAGGGAAUGAAAGAACACGUUCUCCCCCACCCCAUUACUAUCAACUUUGCUUUUCUCCCUGGACUUCCCUUCUGUCCUUCUUUUUCCCUCCCCCCAUCACAGAGGCCUGUGAGCUGUCCAA